GGAGGCAGCAGUAGGGAAUCUUCCACAAUGGGCGAAAGCCUGAUGGAGCAACGCCGCGUGGGUGAAGAAGGUCUUCGGAUCGUAAAACCCUGUUGUUAGAGAAGAAAGUGCGUGAGAGUAACUGUUCACGUUUCGACGGUAUCUAACCAGAAAGCCACGGCUAACUACGUGCCAGCAGCCGCGGUAAUACGUAGGUGGCAAGCGUUAUCCGGAUUUAUUGGGCGUAAAGGGAACGCAGGCGGUCUUUUAAGUCUGAUGUGAAAGCCUUCGGCUUAACCGAAGUAGUGCAUUGGAAACUGGGAGACUUGAGUGCAGAAGAGGAGAGUGGAACUCCAUGUGUAGCGGUGAAAUGCGUAGAUAUAUGGAAGAACACCAGUGGCGAAAGCGGCUCUCUGGUCUGUAACUGACGCUGAGGUUCGAAAGCGUGGGUAGCAAACAGGAUUAGAUACCCUGGUAGUCCACGCCGUAAACGAUGAAUGCUAAGUGUUGGAGGGUUUCCGCCCUUCAGUGCUGCAGCUAACG
rnacentral:rRNA from 1 species